ACAUGCAAGUCGAACGAAGCACUUUGAUUCUUCGGAUUGAAGAGUGACUGAGUGGCGGACGGGUGAGUAACGCGUGGGUGACCUGCCUCAUACAGGGGGAUAACAGUUAGAAAUGACUGCUAAUACCGCAUAAGCGCACAGUACCGCAUGGUACGGUGUGAAAAACUCCGGUGGUAUGAGAUGGACCCGCGUCUGAUUAGCUAGUUGGUGAGGUAACGGGCCCACCAAGGCGACGAUCAGUAGCCGACUUGAGAGAGUGAUCGGCCACAUUGGGACUGAGACACGGCCCAAACUCCUACGGGAGGCAGCAGUGGGGAAUAUUGCACAAUGGGGGAAACCCUGAUGCAGCGACGCCGCGUGAGCGAAGAAGUAUUUCGGUAUGUAAAGCUCUAUCAGCAAGGAAGAUAAUGACGGUACUUGACUAAGAAGCCCCGGCUAACUACGUG
rnacentral:rRNA from 1 species